GACGAACGCUGGCGGCGUGCUUAACACAUGCAAGUCGAACGAAGUGGCGAACGGGUGAGUAACGCGUAAUCAACCUGCCCUUCAGAGGGGUACAACAGUUGGAAACGACUGCUAAUACCGCAUACUGAAGGCGGGGAUUGCGUCUGAUUAGCUAGUUGGAGGGGUAACGGCCCACCAAGGCGGGGAUAAGUAGCCGGUCUGGAGAGAUGAACGGCCCACACGGGACUGAGACACGGCCCAGAAUCCUACGGGAGGCAGCAGGGGGGAAUAUUGCAAAAUGGGCGCAAGGCUGAUGCAGCCAAGCCGCGUGAGUGAUGACGGCCGUCGGGUUGUAAAGCUCUGUUAAUCGGGACGCGGUACCGGAAUAGAAAGCCACGGCUAACUACGUGCCAGCAGCCGCGGUAAUUC
rnacentral:rRNA from 1 species